ensembl:lncRNA
CAAACAUUUGCCUUAUGUAGAGACACUGAUCAUUUUACAAACAUGCAAGCAGGGGAGUUUCCUGCUGUUGAGGAUCCGCGACAUAGCCUAGGCAUUCUCAGCCGGCCUUCCUUGCUUUUCUCCCCUCCUCCCACUAUACUCAUUUUUUUUCUGAAUGGGUGUCCUCUGUCUAACCUCUCAAUUCAGAAUGUUGAAACAGGACACUGUGCUGAACAGUGAUAGGUUGCCAGAGAAAUGCUCAGCCCCUCAAAGCCAGCUAUAGGACCUCUGGGAGUCAGUCUGCAGUGUAUAACUGCUUGACGAGAGAGAGAGAAAGAGAGAGAGAGAGAGAAGGAGGGCCAUUCUAGAGGAAGGGAGGGAGCAACUCGGAGCGAGAGAGCGAGGGAGGGAGAGGAUUUUAAAUCCGAUGACAGUGAUAACAGUGAUAGUCAGCUCAGGCUCGAGUGGCGGAAGGGUCUCAGCUGAAUCAGGAAGCCACCUCUGGUUUGACAUAUACAGCUUUUAUCACCAAUGUUGCUGUCACUUUAAGACUGUUACUGAUUAGCCGCCGAAGACUGACUGGACAGAGAAAAAAGGACAGACCAAAAAAGAGAGACAGAAAGGAAGAGAGAAGGAGAGAGUUUCAAGCUGGGAAUCACAUGGAGAACACCAAGGCUGAACAGGGAGAAGACUGAGACUCAGCACAUGCAAGCAACAUUCAGCCAUCAGGAAAUACUCCUUUCACCCAGACUGAGUAAGUGAACAAGGGGGGGUGGGUGUUAGGGGGGGAGACAGAAAGCUCUGUCUACUAAUGGAUAUCAUAUGGCGCAUGUUAAAAUUGAGAAAUUGUUUGCAGAUUUGUGAUAACUAGUCUUGAGAAAAGUUAGAAUUAUAAAAAAUAAAAUAAAAAUUGUGCUUUAUGUUAAUGUAUAUUAAUUAUAUGUGUGCAUGUGUUUUUGGUUUGUUAGUGCUUAUGUGGCUACAUGUGCUUUGUGUGGCUAGGACUGCCAUUUAUUAAGUGUUCUUGCUUUCUCAACGUGUCACAUGAGGAACCUUAUUGGGGGGGAUAGCUCUUGUGGUAAAUGAAACUGAUUUUUGAGCUGCCAUAGGAGACAGGUCUGGAUUUUUUGUGGUAUGACAGCUUAGGCUGUCUUUUUGCUUUUGUAUGGAAUAAAUUUAGCUGCUCCCUGCACAGGCUAAUCUUUUUUUUUUUUUUUUAAAUUAGAGGGGAAUUCCCCUUGGUGGCAAUCAUGAGAUACCCCCCCCCAGUAAGUUGUGGCUGCUUCUAGUGAAUUCUGAAUGAGGAACUAUGUACACACUGUCCUAUACAGCACAGUGCUGUUUCUUAUGAAUGAAUGGGCUAGAGAAAGUCCAGCGCUGAUUGGUCAGUUGCUUUUGGCUAAUCAGAUGACAAGCUCUCUGAUUAGCCCAUGAGUGGUCGGUCAGUGGGUGGAGUUACCGGUCUUCAGACUUACAGUGCCUUCUGCCUUUUACUGACCAGCUGUUAGGGUGACGCUGGACCGAAAUCUAUUGGACAAAAGCUAUUGGUGUGUAUGUAUGUGUGUGUGUAGUCACUGGACACACACAGCAUGCAAGUAAGCAGGCAUGCUGGAUUUGGCCUCUUGCCCAGCUGUUGUUCAUCAUAAUACAGAGUAAAGUCAUAAAGUUGACCUUUAUAAAGUAAGCAUUAACUGCCAAUAAUGUUUUGUCUCAGGAAAUUAUUUAAUUGCUGCCAAAGCACAGAGUCCAGGGACAUCAGAACAUCUGAUUUGGUUAAAUUAUAUUGCAGCUCUUAGUUUUAAAUUAAGGAAAUGCAGUUGCUAGAAAUAUUAAUAGUAAUAUAUUGCUCUUUUAAAUUCAAGAGGUCUAAAUGAUAAAGAAAUGUUAUAUAGACAAAUUAUAUCUCAGUUUUGGGGGGGGGGGGGGGGGGGUUGGGAAAGAGAUAGAAAAUACUUAUUGCAUAAUUAAUUUUUAAGCCAUCACUUUGUGAAAAAUUUUGUAUAAGUUCAGUUAGUAGAUACACCGCUAACUAAAGUGUACCAUUGCCACCAAGCUGUAGUGACGGAACUCAGACUCAGACCAGCCUAUAAAGGUGCAAAGGCCACUAAACUGCUGCCACACUAACCUAAUUAUUUUCCUUCCGGAAACUAGCUCACACAAUAGCCUCCCUAAAAUUAGACCUCAAGGCUAGCGGCCACCAUUGGAGGCUCCGAGCGGAAGUGGAAGACUGAGAGAGUGGGUGUGGGGAGGGUGUGUGCGGGUUUCUGUUGGACUGGUGCUUUGUCCCUCUAGAAAGGAAUGUGGCGGUCACACAUUGACCUCUGUGCGUGCAACAUGCUUUCAUGGGAAGGUGCAGCUCCCUGGCCCCCUCCCGCCAUCGGCCUCACGUACCGUCACACACCCUCUGUGCUUUAGUACCAUAUAAUACUAACCACUCCCAAACCCCUCUAUCUAUCUGUGCCAAGAUCUAUUCACAUUUUCACCGUAAAUGAUGCCUGCUCAGGAUGUUAACUCUGUGGACUGCCAUAUGGAAAAGAAGGCAUGUUUGUGUGUGGAAGUCACAAUAUAUUUCUCUCACUUUAAGAAUUAGAUCAGACUCAAAACACUGCUUUGCUUGUCUCUAAUAACAACUCCAAAGCAGAUAUUGGUAUGGUAUUAUAAUUUAUAUUCAGAUAGUAUUCUUAUUUAAUUAUUAACAAGAUCUUGGAUUAAUGUGGUAUAAUCAAACUACUCAUAUUUACUUCAAAUAGUACUUAAAGAGUGUAAUGUGUUAUAAGCAGCAUUAAAUAUGUAUAUGUUAAUUUGGGCGUCACCAUUUUUGAGCUCACAUUUGCAGGAGUUUCGUCGCUACUAGUGAAUCAUCAUGGUUUGGAUUUUUUUUUGUAAGGGAGAGAAUAAAGUACUUAUUUUUCACUUGCUCUGUCAGACGUUACACCUACUCUCACUGAGGUAGGAGUGGCUGGUGGAAAGGUGCUGGGCAUACACUGGCACGUAACACCCAGGUGGAGAGUGUAAGGUAACACAUACGUGUACCAAGGGGUGUGUACCAUUAUAAUGAUGUCACUAAGUAGGUUAUUGUGCCAUGACUACCAUACGUGUCCCACAGGCCAAGCUUGUAUAUCUUGAGUGAUUCCAGAAGAACUCCAAGAUCAGAUUAUCCUUUUGCUGGGCUUACACUAGUCUGUUUACACAACAACUGAAGUCUCAGUUGUUAAGACCAGCAUCCUGUAAGAGACGUGGAUUCCUUACCCACUUUAUCUUCUUACCUCACUGAUGUUGGUAAUGACAGUUGAGAUAUGAUAGCAGAUGUGGUUGUGUGACUGUGAGGGUGUGUGCAUGACGUACGAACUCAGGUAAUGGCAGGGCAUGCACUUGCACACACCCUUCUUUGUGCGUGUCACCAUGCCCAUAUUUGGCCAGUGUUUCCUCUCCUGGGCAACACACAGGCAGUGCAUUGAACUGCAGUAAACCUAGAGUAGUCAGAAAGUGACUCCACAAGUGGACACACCUCAUGGAACAGGAGAAUCAUUGGAGAUGGGAAAACCAUCACCAGCCAUUCCCAGUUAAAAAAUGCUAUACCUUUGUAGGACAGCAUAUUGGUUAUAGCACAAUGUGUGGAGGUUUAACAUAUGUUAAUUUUUAACCUAAUUCAAUGUUAAGCAAACCCUACAAAUAUCACAAAAACCUUUUUAUACAUAGUUUGCUCCUGUAUAGUAAAAAAAAAUCAACUGUUUUUGUUUAAUGUUAAGGAAGAAGACACUGGUGAGCUUAGCAAUAGCAAAUGAAGAUGAACACUUACCUUAGUUAUGGAAUGGAGAAAAAAAUAUCUGAUAUGAUUGAACAUGUAUGGCUGCCAGCUGAACUGACACAGGAGAGGGCAGUAGUGGCAGACCAAAGAAAACAUGUCUUUAUUCACGAUGUGUCUGCAUAGCAUUAUUGAUGAUAAAUUCAUCAGAAUUAUAUAGAAACCUUUCAAGUGCUCAGAUCCCAACCAAAUCCCUCAAUGCUUCAAUGUCUAUCGGCAUACUCAACUAAAACAUACUACUAAAGCAACAGGGACAAUGAUUGGAACAUUCCUGACAUGAACCACACUGAAAAUGCACCUUAUUUAUCAAAGACAAAGGUAAAACUCAACCACCACCCUUUUUUACGCAGUGGCAAAAACCACUCGUUCAAUGAUCCGUUCAUUCUAAACUGAACCUACUCUGCUCUGAUUGGUCAGAUGUCCCAGUCUGUUGUGAUUGGUCUACCUUACAGCACGUGUCAGAAAGGGAACACCCACUACAAUAUCCGAGUUUACCAUAUCCACAAUAAUGUGUGCACUGCUCUAACCUGCCAAUUAUUGAUGCUCCUGUUGGAGACAAUUGGUGCACUGGCAGGCCAAACUCUUUACUGCCUCCAUGAUGUGCACAGCAAGGUGGAAGGGAUUCAGUCAUCAGAAGCAGGGUCAGUGUGCUCCUAAACAGAGUGGGUAUUAUGGCUAUUUUAAGGAGCGUUGUGCUGCUCUAAUGGAACGGAAUUUAUCGGUCUUCAUUUAGAUGUAAUGCUAUACACUUGAGCAUGGUUCAAGAGCACGACCGGACCUUGGGCAACUCAGAGAGUUAUUUAUACUGAAGAACAUAAAUCCUUUGCACUUCAGUCCAGUGUAUGUGUGUAUGUGUUCUUCCAGUGUGCUGAAAAGAAGCAUUGCCUCAACAGUACUGUGGUAAUGAAGUUGACUGUGGCUGUGAAUGUCAGCCUGAAUGGUAGAGGAUGUGUAUUUACAGUAUGCAUGUGUGUAUGCCUCUAUGGCUCACAUGUCACUUUGCUCCACAUUGCGGUGAAAGAUUUCUUUUUACCUUGAACUUGGUCUACCCACAGACUUUUUACCCUAAGUCCUGCAUUAAAGAGCCAUAAAGCAAAUGAACUUCCCAGUCCUCCUGUCAGCCUGCUUUCUCCAGUGGCAAGGAUUUCUUGUAUUCCAUGACCUCUGAAGGUAAAAGGAGACUGUGUGUCUUGCCUGGCCUCUUGGAGGUUAUCAACAUUUUUGAAACUGGUCAGAACCAGUUAUGCUUACCUUCCCAGUUUUGAGCAAUCAGCUAAUGGAAUUAUAUGAUAAAAGUCAGUAGCACCCCUACACUCUGUGUGGAGCAAGUAAGUAGAAGUUGAGUGAAAUGAAUCCCUUCCCGGCUUCUGAUGAGGUCCAGACCACGGAUCCCAGACCUAACCCUUCAUCAGGCUUUAUGCAGCUGAAGGCUCUUCCUCAAAUUAAAUUAGACUUUAAAAACAACCCAUCAGCCUCUGGAAUGUAAGGGGACCACCUCAUGAAGGUAAUACAUCUGUGUUUUGACCCAUGAAGUUCCCCAAUUCUCUACCCGCUUUCAUGAGAUAACUCUGGGAAUAUAGCCAUGUUCUAGGCAUCAAGAGUGUAUCUUCAGAGGAAGUCACAACAGUAACUGACAUUUUCAGCCUUCUUUCAACAUGACGACAGGAAAAUGGCAAAAGACAGAGGGUCUUCAGAAGAAAAAAAAAUCGAUUUUAAUCAGGGUGUGAGCACUGGCUGGAAGAGAUAUAGGAGUUUAGAGGUUUCUGUUAUGGUGUCAUAAGUAAAAAUGGGUCUGGAUUGGUUGUGAUUGUGUCGGUGGGGCUGCUGAUAAGAGUGUGAAGGAAAUAUCACUUUGGACAGUGUUCACCUCUCUUCAGCUAAUAUGAGCAGUACUGAGCAUGGGGUUUGACAGGCUGUGGGUUGUGUUUGUGCAUUUAUUUAUGGAGUUUGCUGACAUUGAUUCUCACAUUGUCAUUUAGAGCAAAAAAGGGACCAUAGGCAGAGUAUCAGGUUCUCUUUUGUUUUGUUUUGUUUAUGGUACACAAAUAUACAUAACAUAAUGGGGAAUUACUUGUUGUUUGACGCCAUUUGCCGUUAUGUCAGGCAAAUUAGAUGUUAAGCAAAUAUUAUUAGAUACCAUCAUUUUUCCAUGAAUUUGUUUAUUUACUUGUCUACCUGAUGACAUCUCCUGGCUUUAUGGAGCUCACUGAUUGGAAAUUGCCUAAUGUGAGUUGCAUAAGGUAGAACUGUAAUUUAAAUGCAAUUGUAUUGCAAAUAACAAAAGUUGCACAAAAGUUGCAUCAUGUAACCCCAGCUUUGCACCCAAACAGGAACACAUUCACACAAACCCCUACACUCACACUUUCUCCUUCCCCCUCUCUGUGCUGCCCCACCUCCUCUGGUGGGUGAGGGCAAUGAUUCAGUUCCUGUUCAGUGGCAGACCACGUUGACAGAACUCUGGUCAGGGGCUUGGCUGUUGCUCCUCUCAGAAUGUGGAUGUGGUCAGGCCCAGUCAUCUCUCAGGCAUCUUGGAGGAAACCCACAUCAACUGAAACACGCUGGGUCUCCAGGAAUAACCUUGCCAGCAAGACUACCCCCCCCCCCCCACCCCCCAACUCUAAACCGUACCCUCCCAUUUUUAGCCCUAGAGCCAUGAUAGUAAAAAUAGUGAGGAGCAGUACCCAGAAAGCAAGCUGUGGAUCUGCCAAAUAUCUACUCCACCAUCAACAGAUCCACUGCCAGCAAAGUAGCCAUUACAGUCAGUAGAAUUAAUAGUAGUCCAUAAGUAGAUCUUCCCAAAUAGUGCCUAGUAUGUAUUUAUAAGGACUGGAAACAUUAACAGUUUAGGUUUCAGUAGUAAAAAUGCAAAUGAAAAUUUGCUAAAAUGUUGAAUAACAUUGGUCUUUGUUUUUAUACAUAUAAUAGCAUGCAUCUACGUAUCCUGGUGUCUUCAGCCAUGUUGAAAUUGAGCACUAUCAAGUCUCAAGUCUUCCACAAGGGCUCCUUCUUCUAGAAAUCUAGCUUAUUGUUUGUUUCUCUUUGUCCAGUGGAUCCUGAAGUUGGGAUGAGGUGUUGCGAGGGAAAUGCUUAGCAGUCUGCAAGAUUAGAGGCUCUUGGUAUUAUAAACUCACCACUUUACUUCUUUGUAAUAAAGAAGAAGCUCUCAGAGCACUAAUCAUUUGGAGUUAAAAUGUCGCGUGUUCUCUGGCACAGAGAGAGCCUCACUCUGGAAGAUUGGUGGAUUAGCUUGAGCAUCAUCUACUCAACAUGAGGGCUGGCUUGCUUCACGAUUUCCCAGAUGGUCAUUUUCUCAUUGUUUCUCAGUACUGGUUAUAAGGCGUUGAAAGGACACCAACUUUUAUAAAUAUGUACCAGUAGUAUUGAUAUUGUUUUCAGAAAUUGAGUUGUAAAAAUAGACUAAACAUCUAUGUUCUUUUCUUUCUCACAGGUUCAGAGAGUUCACAUUACAGUUUCAUUUUAUAUGUGAUAAUGCCAUCUUCUAGCUCUUAGCUAAGAACAGUGAAACAGAUUUUCAUUAUUAUGUUAUUAUUUUUUUUAUUCUAUUGUUGCAAAUUGCUAGACCUUUUGUGGAAAUGACAUGCUUGAAUCUAGAUCAGAGUCCAAAUGUUGCUGUCCACUUAGUGGAAAUAAAAGCAAGCGUUGUAAAAUGUCAUAAAAUAACAAAUUCUAAAAUAAAUAAUUUUAGGUUAGUUAUAAGCACUAAAUGUUAAAAUACACCACAAGUCUUUGAAGCAAUUUGGGCACUACUGAUUUGCUGAGUUUUAUUCAAUAACCACCUACUGUACAAGCUAGGAAAGCACUUUAAAAUCGAUUAUAUAGGAUAGAUCUCUGAAGCCCCUUAGCUCUUUCUUUCUCUCUGAAUUGUCUAAACCCCCUCUGAGCUGAUCACUAGACCUGGAAGGUUAUGAAUGGAAUGUUCACAAAUUCUCCUGAUGGCUACAGGUCAUUACUGAGACUGUGGCUCACGCCAGGGCAUACAGCAGAGUAGCAGCCGGAAGCAAAUACCUCCCUAGGGAACAUCAGGCUAUGUUAUCCCCCAUCCCCCCUACCACCCGCACGCAUGCAUGCACACUCACACACACACACACACACACACACGCGUGGGAGAGAACCGUCUGUAACUUUGUAACUUGUAUUUUUAAAGUAAUUUAUUUAAUGUAUGUCAUAAUAGGUGUGUGCCAUGAAACGGCACACACCUAUUAUGAGUUUGGUAUGGUAUAUAUAGUAUUGCGAGUCUUACCAUGAAGUGAAUUUCCACACAGCAUACACAGAACCAAAGAUUUCAAAACUGGUCUGGUGAGUUUUCCUAAAAAUCUGCUAUAGUGCAAUGAGAUCAGUUGUAUAUGUUGAAUUAGUAAUGGGCUACGAAGUAUCUGGAAAUUGGUGUAUUGGGAUUUCAUAGUAAUAUUGCUAUAUAUUUGUCAGUCAGGAAAGUGCUGUGGGAUAUUAACUGUUAUUUUGUAAGUUAUAUAUGACACAUCUUGAAAAGGAGCCAAAAAAUAACUAGUCAGACUGAGUAUUGUCAAUAUCAAUUAGUAUAUUUGCCAGCGAUAUGCUUUGAUAGUAAGUACUCAGUACUAAAAUAGGCCAUCAGUCAAUAUAAACUUCCUGCAGCUCAGUAAAAUCCCACUUAGUGUUUUUCUGAUAAUUAUGGCUCAACCAUUGUUCCAUUUAGUGAUCUGUAUUGUACAGUGACGUUGUGGUGGACAAUGUCUUAAAAUGCCACACAGCUUUGUCAGCACAACUAAAAAAUCAAACCACAAACACACAUUCCACUCAGUCAACAUAUCGCAAUUUUUACAUCAGCAUUUCCGAAGUAACAAGUCUGAAUUUCCAAUUUUCUGUGCACACAAAACGACAAGUUCACUCUCGCAUGACAGUGGGAACCUCAUUAUUGAAUACCCAGCCUUAUAGCUAUAUUCUAGCAACUUUAUAUUGUAUCUUCUACUGAUUGUGCCUUUACCAUGCAGGAUAAUGUCACGCUCAGAAUCUACCAGCAUCAGUCUCAGCGCCUGAUCAGGCGGGCACUGACAGUUAGCAGGGACAUUGCGCUGGAAUUUAGACAGGGUCACAAGGGUGGGAACAGUUUCCACAACAGAGAAAAAUUUGAGUCAAAUGACCAUCAGCUGGUCCAAGAAUCAAUAUGGUCACAAGGACUCAGGUAUGUUUAGCUGGAGCCACUACUGAGGAUGUGAAAUGUCUUUGCUCUCGCUGCCUUCAUUACUCACUUGUGUUCAGGGGUUUGUCUUGAACUGUUAUGUAUAUAAUUUUUUGCAUAUUUCACUUUUGCUGCACAUAACAAAAUUAAGAAGCGGUCUCAAAUGAUUGUGCAGUGAUAUUGAUCAGCAUCUGGUCAAUUGGUUUUUAAAGCAGAUUUUGGAACAGAUUUCAGUAGUCAGUCAGACUUAUCUGUUUCUUCCCAUCCAGGGUGUAUUCCUACCAGUGUUCCUGGGAUCCACCACUACCUUGAAUAGGAUAUAGUGGCUACUGAAGAUUAAUUAAUUAACAUACUGAAAGUACAAGGAAAAGUAUGUAGUUAGAUAAACAAAGGACAAGUGGAUAGGUCUAUGUCCACUUUAGGGACCUGGGAGUUAAAGGGGUCAAACAUUGGGUUCAGUGUUUGGAAUCAUAGCCUCCACUUACUUCCACUCACUCAUUCACUAUAAUAGCAAAAACAUUGUUGAAACAAAAUGCUCUGUCUAACUGGUUCACAGAAGCCUUUCGUGUGCAGCAGAACCACAGUUUAUGUUUGUAUACCUUUCUGACUGCAGGCUAAUGGGGAUGAAUGAGAGCUAUUUGCAAGCCUUAACAGUGUGCUUAGAAAAUGCCCAUCAGGAAAUUAUCCACCACCUACUGUUGUCCCCCUGUGCAUGUUUGCAUAAAGAAAGAAUGGCUCUGUUCACAAUUUCUAACCACCAACCCCUCUCUCUCUCUCUCUCUCUCUCUCUCUCUCUCUCUCUCUUCUUUCAGUGAGCAAGGAUGCCAAGGCACUGAAGCUGACUCUGUUUUACAACGAGGGCUGUUUCUGUGCCAUACUGGUUUGCUCAUGAGCUGCUCAGUAGUCAGUGUAGAUCCUGUGUUGCAAUCAGCAGCUACAUCUGGCUACUGGGUCUCUGAUGGCAUUCUGUGCUUCCUGUUGGCACAUUCCAUUCAGAUUAUGCGGUAUGUGGACUCCAUCCUGUCAUUCACAAAAUAGCACCCUCUGUAUUAGAAGGGCUGAAGACUUUCCCUGCUCUUGUUAUUUAAUUUAGCUGUCCAUAAGGGUUUCAGAAUUUGACCUCUUCACACAUCUCCAUUAGUUUAUUGUGUUUUUGGCUUAUUGUUUCUCUAAAUAAUUUGACACGCACUCUGCAUGCAGUGGUGUUGUUGAAGCAACUAGAAAUUAUUUCAGACUUCUGUUUUGACAUGGUGGUAUUGUCCGAUGAAUGGAUCCAGCCAUUGUCUCUCGACUGACUGUUGAAGAUGCAGUUUGAGUGAUUUGAUGACAAAGGAGAAGGCAAGAUGUCACAUUCUUUGUGUGAUUAGGCUGUCAUAGUGGCUGGGUUUGUGUGAAUGCCUUCAGUUGCUGACGGCUGAGAAAUAAUGAAUGUGAAUCUUUUGCACAUGCAGAAGCCCAUCACUUUGCGAGGGCGAAUGAUGAAUUCUUUUGUGUUGUCCCGAACCUGGCAUACAAUGUAGAAUUCUGUGUGGUACAAUCUACAGCUACAUUGUCUGCUGG